GUGCGACGGCGCAGGUCUGCACCAUGGCGGCCCGGCUUGUGAGCCGAUGCGGGGCUGUGCGUGCAGCUCCCCACAGCGGCCCGCUGGCGUCCUGCCGCAGGUGGUCCGGCGCCUCAACAGACACCGUGUAUGACGUGGUGGUGUCGGGUGGAGGCCUGGUGGGCGCUGCCAUGGCCUGUGCCUUGGGUAAGCCCCUCUCCAGGCUACUAGUGGCCGGAAACCGGGCCGCGGAGCACGAUGAGAGCCGUGAGAGCCCUAGCACGACUUGCCCAAAGACAAUUUCUCAGGAUAUGAUAUUCACUUUCAUGACAAGAAAAUCCUGUUGCUCGAAGCAGGUCCAAAGAAAGUACUGGAGAAAUUGUCAGAAACUUACAGCAACAGGGUCAGCUCCAUUUCCCCUGGCUCUGCAACGCUUCUCAGUAGUUUUGGUGCCUGGGACCAUAUCUGCAACAUGAGAUACAGAGCCUUUCGGCGAAUGCAGGUGCCCCUUUAUCUUUUCAAUUUUGUCAAGAUGUCUUGGUCUGUCUUGUGUUAAGAUAUUGGAGUCCACUUUCUCCAAGUGUUCUGUGAAUGUAGGAGGAAUCAGACAAGGUUCACAUUCAGUCCGAGGAAGUGGGGAGAAGCAUUCCCAGGAGAAUUUUCUUCUCAUUUUAUAUUUUCCUACCACAGAGGCUGACAAAUUGUGAUUUUCUGCUCUGUCACUUGGGAAAGCAAUAUUGUUUCUGAUUGGAGUGAUGUUUCCCUCUUGGUUUUAAUGCAGACUUUCCUUUUGUGUUUCCAGGUGUGGGACGCCUGCUCAGAGGCCCUGAUAAUGUUUGAUAAGGAUAAUUUAGAUGACAUGGGCUAUAUCGUGGAGAAUGAUGUCAUCAUGCAUGCUCUCACUAAGCAGUUGGAGGCUGUGUCUGGUGAGGCCCCCAUCUUCCAUCUUGCAUUCAUU
rnacentral:sRNA from 1 species